UACAGAGGGUGCGAGCGUUGUUCGGAAUUACUGGGCGUAAAGGGCUCGUAGGUGGCCAACUAAGUCAGACGUGAAAUCCCUCGGCUUAACCGGGGAACUGCGUCUGAUACUGGAUGGCUUGAGUUCGGGAGAGGGAUGCGGAAUUCCAGGUGUAGCGGUGAAAUGCGUAGAUAUCUGGAGGAACACCGGUGGCGAAGGCGGCAUCCUGGACCGACACUGACACUGAGGAGCGAAAGCCAGGGGAGCAAACGGG
rnacentral:rRNA from 1 species